rnacentral:rRNA from 1 species
UACGGAGAGUGCAAGCGUUACUCGGAAUCACUGGGCGUAAAGAGCGUGUAGGCGGAUAUAUAAGUCAGAAGUGAAAUCCAAUAGCUUAACUAUUGAACUGCUUUUGAAACUGUAUAUCUAGAAUGUGGGAGAGGUAGAUGGAAUUUCUGGUGUAGGGGUAAAAUCCGUAGAGAUCAGAAGGAAUACCGAUUGCGAAGGCGAUCUACUGGAACAUUAUUGACGCUGAGACGCGAAAGCGUGGGGAGCAAAC